ACGAACCUCUGGAGAGACUCAUUGAGCACCGAAGGAGCAAACCCAAUUUUGGACUAAACUCUCAGGUAAAAGGACAGAGGAAU
rnacentral:ncRNA from 1 species